CAUGUAGUAAAGGAGAGAACUCUAUAGACUGAUGGCCUCUGCUGUAUGAAUCGGCAUUGCUCCAUUGAUUUUAUACCAGCGGAUAAUCUGACCCUAUGCUCACAAAAGAGCAAUGAAUCCGUCAGACUGCACAGUACUAAGGGCCUGAUCCUAAGCCAGUUUGGGAGACACAUGCCUCAUGCAUGGAAACACAAGAGCCUUUUCCAGCACCGCAUUUGUUCUUUGGAACAUCCUCCUUGGUUGGAUAUAUAUUUGAUCCCACAUAAUUAAGUUCGUCUGCUGCCUCUACAGUUUGUCUGUUAAUUGUGAUGUCAGCUUGCAUCCAGUUUUUGUUAGUUUGUCAGUGUACAUCUUGUUUCCAUUGCAUUCAGUCCAUAUUCCUCACUAGCUGUUUUUACAGAGUCCAGUAUUUAUUUCAGUAUUUAUCGGUGGUUGUAGCAAAGAGUGUUGUGUCAUCAACAUAUCUCAGGUUGGUUAAGAGGUGUCCACUAUUGGAAAUUCCAGUGUCUUCUGCUUUGUCAAGACCUUCUGAGGCUUAUCUCAUAAUAAAUUCUGUGAAUAUGUUAAAGAGGCUUGGGGACAAAAUACACCCUUGUCUCACACCUUACUCUGUGGAAAACCACUCACUGUCAAAUCCUGCUGCUCUCACCAUAGUCUGUUUGUGGUGAGUUCAGUUAGAUGCUUUGGAAACCGAUGUUUGCCAGUAUACUCCAAAGGCAGUCAUGUUAGAUGGUAUAAAACACUUUUCAGUAGUCAGUAGAGCACAAUGAAGCACUGACUGCAUUUUUCAGUUGUGUGACAGGUAUUCACAAUUUGGUCACAAUCUUUUCUGAAACUAACCUGUUGUGGUGAUAGUUUUGCUUCUAUCCUUCAUUUUAUACGAUCCUGGAAUAUGUGGAGUAGACCUUUUCUUGCACAAUACU